rnacentral:rRNA from 1 species
GGCGGUCACCGCUCUUGGAAUCCGAUUAAGCCAUGCGAGUCGAGAGGGUUCGGCCCUCGGCAGACCGCUCAGUAACACGUGGAUAACCUACCCUGAAGUGGGGGAUAAUCUCGGGAAACUGAGGAUAAUACCCCAUAAAUCUUCGAUACUGGAAUGUUCAUAGGUUGAAAGCUACGGCGCUUCAGGAUGGGUCUGCGGCCUAUCAGGUUGUAGUGAGUGUAAAGGACUCACUAGCCGGCGACGGGUACGGGCCAUGGGAGUGGUAGCCCGGAGAUGGACUCUGAGACACGAGUCCAGGCCCUACGGGGCGCAGCAGGCGCGAAAACUUCACAAUGCGCGCAAGCGCGAUGAGGGGAUUCCAAGUGCAUGCACUCUGUGUAUGCUGUUUACUAGUUUAAAACGCUAGUAGAGUAAGGGCUGGGUAAGACUGGUGCCAGCCGCCGCGGUAAUACCAGCGGCCCUAGUGGUGAUCGUUAUUAUUGGGCCUAAAGCGUCCGUAGCCGGCCCGGUAAAUCUCUGGGUAAAUCGUUGGGCUUAACCCAGCGAAUUCUGGGGAGACUGCCGGGCUUGGGACCGGGAGAGGUUGGAGGUACUCCAGGGGUAGGGGUGAAAUCCUGUAAUCCUUGGGGGACCACCGGUGGCGAAGGCGUCCAACCAGAACGGGUCCGACGGUAAGGGACGAAGCCCUGGGGCGCGAACCGGAUUAGAUACCCGGGUAGUCCAGGGUGUAAACGCUGUGCGCUUGGUGUUGGGGGUCCUACGUGGGCAUCCAGUGCCGGAGAGAAGUUGUUAAGCGCACCGCCUGGGGAGUACGGUCGCAAGACUGAAACUUAA